rnacentral:rRNA from 1 species
CGAAUGCUGACAUAAGUAACGAUAAAGCGGGUGAAAAGCCCGCUCGCCGGAAGACCAAGGGUUCCUGUCCAACGUUAAUCGGGGCAGGGUGAGUCGACCCCUAAGGCGAGGCCGAAAGGCGUAGUCGAUGGGAAACAGGUUAAUAUUCCUGUACUUGGUGUUACUGCGAAGGGGGGACGGAGAAGGCUAUGUUGGCCGGGCGACGGUUGUCCCGGUUUAAGCGUGUAGGCUGGUUUUCCAGGCAAAUCCGGAAAAUCAAGGCUGAGGCGUGAUGACGAGGCACUACGGUGCUGAAGCAACAAAUGCCCUGCUUCCAGGAAAAGCCUCUAAGCAUCAGGUAACAUCAAAUCGUACCCCAAACCGACACAGGUGGUCAGGUAGAGAAUACCAAGGCGCUUGAGAGAACUCGGGUGAAGGAACUAGGCAAAAUGGUGCCGUAACUUCGGGAGAAGGCACGCUGAUAUGUAGGUGAGGUCCCUCGCGGAUGGAGCUGAAAUCAGUCGAAGAUACCAGCUGGCUGCAACUGUUUAUUAAAAACACAGCACUGUGCAAACACGAAAGUGGACGUAUACGGUGUGACGCCUGCCCGGUGCCGGAAGGUUAAUUGAUGGGGUUAGCGCAAGCGAAGCUCUUGAUCGAAGCCCCGGUAAACGGCGGCCGUAACUAUAACGGUCCUAAGGUAGCGAAAUUCCUUGUCGGGUAAGUUCCGACCUGCACGAAUGGCGUAAUGAUGGCCAGGCUGUCUCCACCCGAGACUCAGUGAAAUUGAACUCGCUGUGAAGAUGCAGUGUACCCGCGGCAAGACGGAAAGACCCCGUGAACCUUUACUAUAGCUUGACACUGAACAUUGAGCCUUGAUGUGUAGGAUAGGUGGGAGGCUUAGAAGUGUGGACGCCAGUCUGCAUGGAGCCGACCUUGAAAUACCACCCUUUAAUGUUUGAUGUUCUAACGUUGACCCGUAAUCCGGGUUGCGGACAGUGUCUGGUGGGUAGUUUGACUGGGGCGGUCUCCUCCUAAAGAGUAACGGAGGAGCACGAAGGUUGGCUAAUCCUGGUCGGACAUCAGGAGGUUAGUGCAAUGGCAUAAGCCAGCUUGACUGCGAGCGUGACGGCGCGAGCAGGUGCGAAAGCAGGUCAUAGUGAUCCGGUGGUUCUGAAUGGAAGGGCCAUCGCUCAACGGAUAAAAGGUACUCCGGGGAUAACAGGCUGAUACCGCCCAAGAGUUCAUAUCGACGGCGGUGUUUGGCACCUCGAUGUCGGCUCAUCACAUCCUGGGGCUGAAGUAGGUCCCAAGGGUAUGGCUGUUCGCCAUUUAAAGUGGUACGCGAGCUGGGUUUAGAACGUCGUGAGACAGUUCGGUCCCUAUCUGCCGUGGGCGCUGGAGAACUGAGGGGGGCUGCUCCUAGUACGAGAGGACCGGAGUGGACGCAUCACUGGUGUUCGGGUUGUCAUGCCAAUGGCACUGCCCGGUAGCUAAAUGCGGAAGAGAUAAGUGCUGAAAGCAUCUAAGCACGAAACUUGCC